GCUCUUACGAUCUGGCCUGGAUUAGGGCAAUGCUGGUGAGGACAGAAAGAGAAAAAAAAUGUGAGAAAUAUUAUGAAGGAAGAAUGAAGCAGAUGCAGGAACUAACUGGAUAUGAAAGGUAAUUGUGACGGCACGAAGAAGGGUCCUGAGGAGGUACGCCUGACUAACAGGGAUUAUAACACGGCUCUCGGAAAAAGGAAGAAGUUGCAAGAAACAUUUUGAGACAGAUUUUGUGUCCAAUGCAAGUGAAAAUACCCAGUACACUAUUGCAGGUAGAUGCCUGGUGUUUCCAUUUUAUAUGGGAUGCAUUCAUGUCCUAUUUGAUGGCAUGUUUCUGUAUCUAUUUCUCCUGCCUACGAGGGUCUUCUCAGCUCCCAUCCCUUUGAAUCCUCAGCACCCAGCACUG